rnacentral:rRNA from 1 species
GACGAACGCUGGCGGCGUGCUUAACACAUGCAAGUCGAACGGAAAGGCCCUGCUUUUGUGGGGUGCUCGAGUGGCGAACGGGUGAGUAACACGUGAGUAACCUGCCCUUGACUUUGGGAUAACUUCAGGAAACUGGGGCUAAUACCGGAUAGGAGCUCCUGCUGCAUGGUGGGGGUUGGAAAGUUUCGGCGGUUGGGGAUGGACUCGCGGCUUAUCAGCUUGUUGGUGGGGUAGUGGCUUACCAAGGCUUUGACGGGUAGCCGGCCUGAGAGGGUGACCGGCCACAUUGGGACUGAGAUACGGCCCAGACUCCUACGGGAGGCAGCAGUGGGGAAUAUUGCACAAUGGGCGGAAGCCUGAUGCAGCAACGCCGCGUGCGGGAUGACGGCCUUCGGGUUGUAAACCGCUUUCGCCUGUGACGAAGCGUGAGUGACGGUAAUGGGUAAAGAAGCACCGGCUAACUACGUGCCAGCGGCCGCGGUGAUACGUAGGGUGCGAGCGUUGUCCGGAUUUAUUGGGCGUAAAGGGCUCGUAGGUGGUUGAUCGCGUCGGAAGUGUAAUCUUGGGGCUUAACCCUGAGCGUGCUUUCGAUACGGGUUGACUUGAGGAAGGUAGGGGAGAAUGGAAUUCCUGGUGGAGCGGUGGAAUGCGCAGAGAUCAGGAGGAACACCAGUGGCGAAGGCGGUUCUCUGGGCCUUUCCUGACGCUGAGGAGCGAAAGCGUGGGGAGCGAACAGGCUUAGAUACCCUGGUAGUCCACGCUGUAAACGGUGGGUACUAGGUGUGGGGUCCAUUCCACGGGUUCCGUGCCGUAGCUAACGCUUUAAGUACCCCGCCUGGGGAGUACGGCCGCAAGGCUAAAACUCAAAGGAAUUGACGGGGCCCCGCACAAGCGGCGGAGCAUGCGGAUUAAUUCGAUGCAACGCGUAGAACCUUACCUGGGUUUGACAUGGAUCGGGAGUGCUCAGAGAUGGGUGUGCCUCUUUUGGGGUCGGUUCACAGGUGGUGCAUGGCUGUCGUCAGCUCGUGUCGUGAGAUGUUGGGUUAAGUCCCGCAACGAGCGCAACCCUUGUUCACUGUUGCCAGCACGUUAUGGUGGGGACUCAGUGGAGACCGCCGGGGUCAACUCGGAGGAAGGUGGGGAUGACGUCAAGUCAUCAUGCCCCUUAUGUCCAGGGCUUCACGCAUGCUACAAUGGCUGGUACAGAGAGUGGCGAGCCUGUGAGGGUGAGCGAAUCUCGGAAAGCCGGUCUCAGUUCGGAUUGGGGUCUGCAACUCGACCUCAUGAAGUCGGAGUCGCUAGUAAUCGCAGAUCAGCAACGCUGCGGUGAAUACGUUCCCGGGGCU